AACAAAGUUGUAUGCGCCUCCCAAGACACUCCUCCCACCUCCUCCCAAAUUCCCAUCCUCUUCAGUUUUAUAAGCUUCAUUUAAUUAUAUUGACAUUGUUGGAGUCUGGUUUUUUUCUUUUCUGGUUCAGGUAGGCAAGCUUGUUUCCUGGGAAAAUUCUCCAGGAGUGACACCCGAAUCGAGGGUGCCGUAUCCUUAUCCCACGUUCCCCAUUUGAACUUAAAUGCCAUAAAAAUGGGAGAAUAAUGUCAAAACGGGAAGAGGAGCUACGUAGCAAAAAAAAAAAACGCCACCAGAGCCGAGCAACAAAACCUGAUAAUAGAAAUAGCGAGAGCUCCACGAGAAACGGAAAAAGCAAGGACUCAGUGCGCCACGCAUAAAGUUUGCACAUAAAUUUUCCGGGAAAAGAACCGCUGAGCAUGCCAUUGACUUUAAAGGCCACAAAUGGCAAUCGAGGGGUCGCGGGAAUCUGGGUGGAUUUGAGGUGAGGUCAGGGUUCGCCAGCUGGAGCAGCAGCCACCAAAAGCAGAACAAGUAGGGAAAUGUUCAAAGGAAGCUGCAAAGCGAGUCGAGCAAUCAAAGUCGGGGAAAAGGACGUCGAGGGAGCGAGGGGGCGAGGGGCUUUCUGACUGACAAUGGCCAGGGAAAAGGCAAAUGCCAAGCAAAUUGAAAAUGCGACGAAAAACGUGAGAUGCCGUCUUACCACUCCUCGCACGCCGGUACACAGAAAAGUAUUUGUAGGUGGAAAACAUUAAGUAACUAACAAAAUUAAUUAUAAAUUGAAUUAAUAAAUAUAAGAUUUUUUGGACUAAAAAGCUAUUCGAAAUCCCAGAAUGCAAACCAGUUUGAUUACAUUGAACCUAUGUAAAAUUUAAAUAUUUCAUAAGGCAAAAUAAAAAUAUAAGAUUUUUAUUCCAC